GCCAACACUGGGACUGAGAACUGCCCAGACUCCUACGGGAGGCUGCAGUCGAGAAUCUUUCGCAAUGGGCGCAAGCCUGACGAAGCAAUACUGUGUGAGUGAUGAAGGCUUUCGGGUCGUAAAACUCUUUCGCUUGGGAGCAAGAGAGCUGUCGUAAUAUGAUAGUUUUUUGAGAGUACCAGGUAAAGAAGCAC
rnacentral:rRNA from 1 species